UCCAAGUUUUUAAUUGCAGCACUUUGAUUCUGGAUAGUUGUCUCAGUCUUCCUCAUAAAUUGAUUAUUCGCAUCCAUGUACUGAUCUGUCUUUUCCAUGAAUUUACCAAACAUCUCUUCCAAGGAAGUUCUCUUCUCUGCUUGCUGAAACUGAGAACCAUGUGGUGCAGUGGGAUUCUGAUUGCUCCAGGAAAAAUUCGGGUGCUUCCUCCAACUAGGAUUGUAUGUGUCAGAAUAUGGAUUAUUUUGUUGGCGCUGACCCCCUUGUAUGAAAUCAAUGUGUUCCGUACCUUGUAUACGAAUUGGACAAUUUACUGUACUGUGAUCCGCCCCACAUUCUUUACAACUUGCUCUUUUAGCCUGUACUACAUUGG
rnacentral:lncRNA from 1 species